CUUAAGGUGUGAGAGAAACUUUCUCUCUUCUCUAACCAGAUCUGAUUUUUUUUUUGGCUUCAAAUCACUGUGUAGAAUGGAAUUAAAGGUUGAGGAUUCAAUCUAGCAUCAAGUUAUCGGUGUAUUAUAGAAUGGAAUCAAAGCUGAAUCAAAGGGUUGCUUAAAUGAUGCAUUUGUAUUCUUUGAUUAUAUGGGUUUUGAUCGGUUUGGAUUUGGGGGGCGAUGAUGCAAAAAAAAAAAAAAAACGUUGAUUUUGAUGACGAUGGCGCGGCAAGGACGGCGGAGGGUAGGUUUUUUGUACCUGCAACCCCAUUUUGUAGCCUUUUUGAUUAUCAGAAAAUCUGAGCCAAACCCCGUUUUUUUUCGAGAUACACUUUUGUUUUUUUGUUGUUGUUGGUUUUUUAUAUUCUUUCCCCCGUCGAUGACGAUAAAAAUCAAUCCGAGACACCUACCGACUUUGCGAUU